rnacentral:rRNA from 1 species
AGAGUUUGAUCAUGGCUCAGGACGAACGCUGGCGGCGUGCUUAACACAUGCAAGUGGAGCGACGAACCAGGGCUUGCCCUGGGGCAAAGCCGCGAACGGGUGAGUAACACGUGGGUAACCUGCCCCGAUGACCGGGACAACCCGAGGAAACUCGGGCUAAUACCGGAUGUGCUCGCGUGCCAUCUGGCGCGUGAGGAAAGGAAGCUUCGGCCUCCGCAUCGGGAUGGGCCCGCGGCCCAUUAGCUUGUUGGUGAGGUAACGGCUCACCAAGGCCGCGAUGGGUAGCUGGUCUGAGAGGACGAUCAGCCACACUGGGACUGAGACACGGCCCAGACUCCUACGGGAGGCAGCAGCCAGGAAUCUUGGGCAAUGGGCGAAAGCCUGACCCAGCAACACCGUGUGGGCGAUGAAGGCCUUCGGGUCGUAAAGCCCUGUUGAUAGGGACGAAGGGCGAAGGGUUAAUAGCCCCUAGCCUGACGGUACCUUUCGAGGAAGCCCCGGCUAACUACGUGCCAGCAGCGGCGGUAAUAC